CUCAGGAUGAACGCUAGCGGCAGGCCUAACACAUGCAAGUCGAACGGUAACAUGAGAGCUUGCUCUUGAUGACGAGUGGCGCACGGGUGCGUAACGCGUAUACAAUCUACCUUUUACAGGAGGAUAGCCUUUAGAAAUGAAGAUUAAUACUCCAUAGUAUAAUGAUAUGGCAUCAUAUUAUUAUUAAAGUUUCGGCGGUAAAAGAUGAGUAUGCGUUCUAUUAGCUAGAUGGUGUGGUAACGGCAUACCAUGGCAACGAUAGAUAGGGGCCCUGAGAGGGGAUCCCCCACACUGGUACUGAGACACGGACCAGACUCUACGGGAGGCAGCAGUGAGGAAUAUUGGACAAUGGAGGCAACUCUGAUCCAGCCAUGCCGCGUGCAGGAAGACUGCCCUAUGGGUUGUAAACUGCUUUUAUACAGGAAGAAACCGCUCUACGUGUAGAGCUCUGACGGUACUGUAAGAAUAAGGAUCGGCUAACUCCGUGCCAGCAGCCGCGGUAAUACGGAGGAUCCAAGCGUUAUCCGGAAUCAUUGGGUUUAAAGGGUCCGUAGGUGGAUAAUUAAGUCAGAGGUGAAAGUUUGCGGCUCAACCGUAAAAUUGCCUUUGAUACUGGUUAUCUUGAGUUAUUAUGAAGUAGUUAGAAUAUGUAGUGUAGCGGUGAAAUGCAUAGAUAUUACAUAGAAUACCAAUUGCGAAGGCAG
rnacentral:rRNA from 1 species